rnacentral:rRNA from 1 species
ACGGGAAGACCCUGCCCUGCUCUUGACAUCCAGAGAAAUAAUGAUAGAUGCUUGGGGGCGUUUCGGAACUCUGAGACAGGUGUUGCAGGGCCGUCGUCAGCUUGUGUUGUGAAAUGUUGGGUUAAGUCCCGCAACGAGCGCAACCCUUAUCCUUUGUUGCCACCGGUCCGGCGGGGAACUCAAAGGAGACGGCCAUUGAUAGGGGGGGAGGAAGGUCGGGAUGACGUCAAGUCAUCAUGGGCCUUACGAGUAGGGUUACCCACGUGCUCCAAUGCCAUAUUUUUACAGCCCCGCCCUCGCGAGAGCAAACGGACCUGAUACCCGCCCUCUUAGUCCGGAUCGGAGUCUGCACCUCAGACUCCAUGAAGUCGGAAUCGCUAGUAAUUCGGGAUCAUAA